rnacentral:rRNA from 1 species
AUACGAAAGGUGCAAGCGUUGUUCGGAAUUACUGGGCGUAAAGAGAGUGUAGGUGGUUUAUUAAGUCGGAUGUGAAAUCCCGGGGCUCAACCUCGGAACUGCAUUCGAUACUGAUAGGCUAGAGUUUGGGAGGGGUAAGCGGAAUUCCGUGUGUAGCAGUGAAAUGCGUAGAUAUACGGAGGAACACCUGAGGCGAAGGCGGCUUACUGGACCAAUACUGACACUGAGACUCGAAAGCGUGGGUAGCAAACAGGAUUAGAUACCCUAGUAGUCC